rnacentral:rRNA from 1 species
GUGGGGAAUAUUGGACAAUGGGCGCAAGCCUGAUCCAGCCAUACCGCGUGGGUGAAGAAGGCCUUCGGGUUGUAAAGCCCUUUUGUUGGGAAAGAAAUCCUGUCGGUUAAUACCUGGCGGGGAUGACGGUACCCAAAGAAUAAGCACCGGCUAACUUCGUGCCAGCAGCCGCGGUAAUACGAAGGGUGCAAGCGUUACUCGGAAUUACUGGGCGUAAAGCGUGCGUAGGUGGUGGUUUAAGUCCGUUGUGAAAGCCCUGGGCUCAACCUGGGAAUUGCAGUGGAUACUGGAUCACUAGAGUGUGGUAGAGGGAUGCGGAAUUUCUGGUGUAGCAGUGAAAUGCGUAGAGAUCAGAAGGAACAUCCGUGGCGAAGGCGGCAUCCUGGGCCAACACUGACACUGAGAGACGAAAGCGAGGGGAGCAAAAGGGAUUAGAAACCCUAGUAGUCC